CCAAAAACGUAAACAAUUACAAACAAUAGCAUAACGGUAUCACACAUGAUUCUGCAUUACGGUUAAACCAAGUAAAUAUCAAAAACAAACCUGCAUGAAAUAACACAAAAGAGCAACAAACAUUUAUGGAGCGACGCGUUCACGACCGCCAUUCAACACCAAAUGCUAAAGAUUUGUCUUUAUAGGGAAUAAAGUUAUUAUUAUUAUUAUUAAACGUAACUCCCGUUCGUGCUUUUUAGAUGGCGCAGGCAGCUUUUCCCACGUUAGAAAUUGCAUAGUUGCCAACUCUCAAAACUGUAUGUAUCGUCGCAAGUUGUAUAUACAAGGCGGAAUUAAAAAUUAACUGUAAGAAUGACAUAUUUCCACAUCGAGGAAGGAAUUGUAAAUAAAAGGAACUCCUGAAUUUGUCAACCAGUCCAAUUAGCGAGCGCUCGGGAAAAGUCCUCAUGAGCGGAAAAAAACGCCCGCGAGCGGAAAAAGCAUGGAAAAAGCGCUCAGGAACAGAAAAAAACGCUCGCGAGCGGAAAAACGUUUUUAGGAAGAACGUAUCACCAAGGGGUCAUGAUAAAGAUAUAAGGAAGUGAAAGACAAGCAAAGAUAACCUUAAAAGUCGUCCAGAGGGAAGGGACGUAAAAGAAUCGCGGGAAAAAGAAUAGAAGGGACGUGAUGUCUUCAUAAAGAAUGCGUGAAGAGGCGAGGUUCGUGUAAAGAAAGGUGUGGUCUGAUAAUGCAAAAAAUACAUAAAGAGGAAACACCUAACGUUGGGAAUCGCAAGGAAAAAUGAAGGGAGCCAGUGGAAGAGUGAGUGAAAGCGAUCUAAAGGAGGCGUCAAUACAGUCUUGUAAUGGAGGGGGAGGGGACGCGCUGGAUUAUUUGAGAAAAGCGUGAACGACAGGUAGGUGGAGAAAGAGGCGCUGAAAAUGAUGGAGAAAAAAACCUUGAGGGCGCAGUAAAGAAAAAGUGAAGAAAAAUAUUGAAAUGAGAGAAAUGGAAGGCUAUCAUGAUGAAUUAUAUCUCAAGGACGUGUAAGAAAGGAUUGUAGGAGACAGGAUGCGUAGGAAAGGGGUAAAAUAGAUGUAAAAGCGAUCUUGAAGGUAGUUUGGGCAGCCAAAUCUAGGGAGAAGUUCUCCUAAAAUUACUGUAUAUUUAUUUAAAUUGUAAUAGCAUACAACAC